ACCUAGUAUGGUGGUUAUGACACUGGACUUGUAAUCGAGUGAGAUCGGGUUCGAAUCCCGAUAUAGAUG